UACAGAGGGUGCAAGCGUUAUCCGGAUUCACUGGGUUUAAAGGGUGCGUAGGUGGGUUGGUAAGUCCGUGGUGAAAUCUCCGAGCUUAACUCGGAAACUGCCGUGGAUACUAUCAAUCUUGAAUACUGUGGAGGUAAGCGGAAUAUGUCAUGUAGCGGUGAAAUGCUUAGAUAUGACAUAGAACACCGAUAGCGAAGGCAGCUUGCUACACAGUCAUUGACACUGAGGCACGAAAGCGUGGGGAGCAAACAGG
rnacentral:rRNA from 1 species